UACGAGGGGGGCAAAUGUUGUUCGGAAUCACUGGGCGUAAAGGGAGCGUAGGCGGGCUUCUAAGUUAGGUGUUUAAUCCCGGGGCCCAACCCCGGUCGUGCACUUAAAACUGGAAGUCUUGAAUAGUGGAGAGGUCAGUGGAAUUGGGGGUGUAGCGGUGGAAUGCGUAGAGAUCCCCAAGAACACCAGUUGCGAAGGCGGCUGACUGGACACAUAUUGACGCUGAGGCUCGAAAGCAUGGGGAGCAAACAGGG
rnacentral:rRNA from 1 species